rnacentral:rRNA from 1 species
UCUCGGUUAGUUGGUUGGUUAGUUAUUGGUUGUGAAUCAUUUAAUCUGUCUGCGAAAGUGUUGUGUACUUCC